rnacentral:rRNA from 1 species
AUUGAACGCUGGCGGCAGGCCUAACACAUGCAAGUCGAGCGGAUGAGUGGAGCUUGCUCCAUGAUUCAGCGGCGGACGGGUGAGUAAUGCCUAGGAAUCUGCCUGGUAGUGGGGGACAACGUUUCGAAAGGAACGCUAAUACCGCAUACGUCCUACGGGAGAAAGCAGGGGACCUUCGGGCCUCGCGCUAUCAGAUGAGCCUAGGUCGGAUUAGCUAGUUGGUGAGGUAAAGGCUCACCAAGGCGACGAUCCGUAACUGGUCUGAGAGGAUGAUCAGUCACACUGGAACUGAGACACGGUCCAGACUCCUACGGGAGGCAGCAGUGGGGAAUAUUGGACAAUGGGCGAAAGCCUGAUCCAGCCAUGCCGCGUGUGUGAAGAAGGUCUUCGGAUUGUAAAGCACUUUAAGUUGGGAGGAAGGGCAGUAAGUUAAUACCUUGCUGUUUUGACGUUACCGACAGAAUAAGCACCGGCUAACUUCGUGCCAGCAGCCGCAGUAACAC